CCGUCGAUAGCUCAGUUGGUAGAGCGGUGGACUGUAGAUCCAUAGGUCGCUGGUUCGAGUCCGGCUCUACGGA
rnacentral:tRNA from 2 species